rnacentral:rRNA from 1 species
AUAUUGGACAAUGGGGGCAACCCUGAUCCAGCCAUGCCGCGUGUGUAAAGAAGGUCUUCGGAUUUUAAAGCACUUUAAGUUGGGAGGAAGGGCUUUAGGUUAAUACCCUGAAGUUUUGACGUUACCAACUGGAUAAGUACCGGCUAACUCUGUGCCCGCAGCCGCGGUAAUACAGAGGGUGCAAGCGUUACUCGGAAUUACUGGGCGUAAAGCGCGCGUAGGUGGUUCAGUAAGAUGGGUGUGAAAUCCCCGGGCUUAACCUGGGAACUGCUUUCAUAACUGCUGAGCUAGAGUACGGUAGAGGGUAGUGGAAUUUCCUGUGUAGCGGUGAAAUGCGUAGAUAUAGGAAGGAACACCAGUGGCGAAGGCGACUACCUGGACUGAUACUGACACUGAGGUGCGAAAGAGUGGGGAGCAAAC